CCUACGGGUGGCAGCAGUGGGGAAUAUUGCACAAUGGGGGAAACCCUGAUGCAGCGACGCCGCGUGAGGGAAGAAGGAAUUCGUUAUGUAAAGCUCUAUCAGCAGGGAAGAAAAUGACGGUACCUGAGUAAGAAGCCCCGGCUAACUACGUGCCAGCAGCCGCGGUAAUACGUAUGGGGCAAGCGUUAUCCGGAGUUACUGGGGGUAAAGGGAGCGUAGACGGCAGUGCAAGUCUGGAGGGAAAGGCGGGGGGUCAACCCCCGGACUGGUCGGGGAACUGGACGGCGGGAGGUGAGGGAAGGGAAGGGGGAAUCCUGGGGGUAGCGGGGAAAGCCUUAGAUUUAAGGAGGAAACCCGUUGGCGAAGGGGGUUUAUGGACUGUAA
rnacentral:rRNA from 1 species